ACAUUGAUGAUUCAGUGGUAGAAUUCUCGCCUUUAAUGUGGGAGACCUGGGUUUGAUUCCCAGCCAGUGUA
rnacentral:tRNA from 1 species